rnacentral:lncRNA from 1 species
AUUAAAGUUUCGGAGGUAGAAUAUGCGACUCUGGCUGCGUUUUUCCAACCCAACUUCUUGAAGCUCAUUAUAAUGUGCAGCUACAGCUUGCCCAUGGCCUGCCUCACUCGGAACUUUCUUAGGAGGUUCAUCUUCAACAUCUGCUAUAUUCCUUUUCAGGCCACUGCCCUGAUCACCACUAGCAAGCUUUUUCUCAUUUUCAGUGGAGUGCGCUGUACCUGAAGUUGAGCUAUUGCCUUCCAAAUUGACACCUGAAUCUGUCUCUGAAGCAUGAGACGUUCUCUCCACUUCUUCAUCCAAACUCUUCUCUACUUCCUUUUCUUCAGUCUUGGUUAAGUCAGCCAUUUUUGACAGGUUAAACUCCCUACCUGUUGAUCAAAAUAAAAAACUACAGAGAAAAAAGAUCUACUGUUAGCACUGAAUUUAAC